rnacentral:rRNA from 1 species
GUGAGGAAUAUUGCACAAUGGAGGAAACUCUGAUGCAGCAACGCCGCGUGGAGGAUGACGCAUUUCGGUGUGUAAACUCCUUUUAAGAGGGAAGAUUAUGACGGUACCUCUUGAAUAAGCACCGGCUAACUCCGUGCCAGCAGCCGCGGUAAUACGGAGGGUGCAAGCGUUACUCGGAAUCACUGGGCGUAAAGGGUGCGUAGGCUGACUUUUAAGUCAGGCGUGAAAUCCAAUGGCUUAACCAUUGAACUGCGCUUGAAACUGGGAGUCUAGAGUUCAGAAGGGGCAGAUGGAAUUAGUGGUGUAGGGGUAAAAUCCGUAGAUAUCACUAGGAAUAUCAAAAGCGAAGGCGAUCUGCUGGGAUGAUACUGACGCUGAGGCACGAAAGCGUGGGGAGCAAACAGGAUUAGAUACCCCGGUAGUCC